GACGAACGCUGGCGGCGUGCCUAACACAUGCAAGUCGAACGGAAAGGCCCCGCUUUUGCGGGGGGCUCGAGUGGCGAAAGAGUGAGUAACACGCGAGUAACCUACCCUUGACUAUGGUAUAACUUCAGGAAACUGGGCCGAAUACCAUAUAUGAGCUCCCGCCGCAUGGACGGGCUUGGAAAGGUCCGGCGGUUGGGGUUGGACUCGCGGCUUAUCAGCCUGCUGGUGGGGUGGUGGCUGACAACGGCUGUGACGGGUAGCCGGCCGGAGAGGGUGACCGGCCACAUUGGGACUGGGAUUGGGCCCAGACUCCAACGCCAGGCAGAAGUGGGGAAGGGUGCACUAUGGGCGGAGGCCUGACGCAGCAGCGCCGCGUGCGGGAUGACGACCUUCGGGUUGUAUACCGCUUUCGCCUGUGACGAAGCGUGAGUGACGGUAAUGUGUAAAGAAGCACCGGCUAACUUCGUG
rnacentral:rRNA from 1 species